UACGUAGGGGGCUAGCGUUGUCCGGAUUUAUUGGGCGUAAAGGGCGCGUAGGCGGCCUGUUAAGUCGAACGUGAAAUCUCCGGGCUCAACCCGGGAACUGCGUCCGAUACUGGCAGGCUUGAAUACGGGAGAGGGAUGCGGAAUUCCAGGUGUAGCGGUGAAAUGCGUAGAUAUCUGGAGGAACACCGGUGGCGAAGGCGGCAUCCUGGACCGGCAUUGACGCUGAGGCGCGAAAGCCAGGGGAGCAAACGGG
rnacentral:rRNA from 1 species